GUUCCUGCCACUCCUUCAUGUCCCUCACUGUGUGCUUCCCGGGCUAGGAGGGUGGAGAUCCAGGCCUGGAACGGUAGCAGGGGAACAGCUCUGUGGUCUUCUCUGAAGUGAUGACACCAGAUGAAGCCGUCUUAGAUUGCUGAAGCGCCUUUCGUCCAGUAGCUUUUGGACUGCUGCUGCUGCAGGUGGUCUUCUGAAUCUGGACUCUGUUUCUUGGACUCUUUUUGGGUCCUGUGCUUUCUGU